GAUGGAGGGGGAUAACUACUGGAAACGGUAGCUAAUACCGCAUAAUGUCGCAAGACCAAAGAGGGGGACCUUCGGGCCUCUUGCCAUCAGAUGUGCCCAGAUGGGAUUAGCUAGUAGGUGGGGUAACGGCUCACCUAGGCGACGAUCCCUAGCUGGUCUGAGAGGAUGACCAGCCACACUGGAACUGAGACACGGUCCAGACUCCUACGGGAGGCAGCAGUGGGGAAUAUUGCACAAUGGGCGCAAGCCUGAUGCAGCCAUGCCGCGUGUAUGAAGAAGGCCUUCGGGUUGUAAAGUACUUUCAGCGGGGAGGAAGGUGUUGUGGUUAAUAACCACAGCAAUUGACGUUACCCGCAGAAGAAGCACCGGCUAACUCCGUGCCAGCAGCCGCGGUAAUACGGAGGGUGCAAGCGUUAAUCGGAAUUACUGGGCGUAAAGCGCACGCAGGCGGUCUGUCAAGUCGGAUGUGAAAUCCCCGGGCUCAACCUGGGAACUGCAUU
rnacentral:rRNA from 1 species